rnacentral:rRNA from 1 species
UACGGGGGGGGCAAGCGUUGUUCGGAAUUACUGGGCGUAAAGGGCGUGUAGGCGGCCUUCUAAGUCAGACGUGAAAUCCCUCGGCUCAACCGGGGAACUGCGUCUGAUACUGGAGGGCUUGAAUCCGGGAGAGGGAUGCGGAAUUCCAGGUGUAGCGGUGAAAUGCGUAGAUAUCUGGAGGAACACCGGUGGCGAAGGCGGCAUCCUGGACCGAUACUGACGCUGAGGCGCGAAAGCUAGGGGAGCAAACGGG